rnacentral:rRNA from 1 species
CCUACGGGAGGCAGCAGUGGGGAAUAUUGGGCAAUGGGGGAAACCCUGACCCAGCCAUGCCGCGUGUGUGAAGAAGGUCUUCGGAUUGUAAAGCACUUUAAGUUGGGAGGAAGGGCAGUAAGCUAAUACCUUGCUGUUUUGACGUUACCGACAGAAUAAGCACCGGCUAACUCUGUGCCAGCAGCCGCGG